rnacentral:rRNA from 1 species
AUGAGGAGGCGAAAUUGGCUGGGGAAUCCCUCCUGUUCCUUUUGUGAUAACAGAGAGACAUCCCGACAUCUCUUCUUCACAUGCCCGGUUGCUAGGGUCAUGUGGAGGACUGUGGGAUGCGUGUUGGGCACAGACUGCUGUCCGAAUAACAUUUGGCAAUAUUUUUCCUGGUGCUAUAGCUUCCUUCCAGAGGGAGAGAAGUUCUAUACUUUUGGCUUAGCUGCACUUUGCUGGGCUAUGUGGAAUUGCCGAAACAGAACCACGUUUGAAUUCAAGAAGUUGGGAUCCCCUUUUAACGUGAUUUAUGUUGCUUGUGGUUAUAUCACAUAUUGGGCAGGUCUGAUGAGGGGCGAAGAUCGUGAAGCAAUGGAGUGUGGAGCUAAGAUGCUGAGGAUCAACGCCUCGAACAUGAUGCGUAUCUGCGCGGCUCCAGGGGGAGGAUGCAACUGA